UAUAUAACAGUGUAACAUUGCCAAGAAGUGGAUUAUCUCAUCUUCAUCCUGUAAUUCCAGUGUUUGUCACAUGGUUGUUGAAUAAAUGAAUAAAGAAUGAGAAAGCCAGAAGCUCUGAUACAUAGUCAUAAUGAUAAUUAUUUCAAUGCACAACUAUGGGUGGUGCUGAACUACAAUCAAUAUUUUCUGCAACUGGCUCCUCUAGGAUCUACUGAUUUAAAUCUAAAAGAUGAAGUCAGUAAAGCAUCAGAAAAAAAGAUACGUGUUGACCAGUGGUCAUGCCACUGCCUAUCUAUUUGUUGAAAAUAUUGUUUACACAGUAAGUUUAUCUCUGUUUGCUGAGCCAUUCUUAAGUAGCUCAUGUGUGACUUGUACUUCUUUCUCUAAACCCUGUAUAUACGACCUCCCUUGUUAUUAUUCCUUAUUUUAACUCCUCCAAAUAUAUUUGAUAGAUCCUUUAAAGGCCUGAAUGGUUAUGAAAUACAAAGGCAAAGUUUCUUGACAGGUGAUUAGCAGAUUUCUCCAUUCUUCAAAUGACCAUUUCACAUCUACCUGAGCAACACUCAGAAUGGUGGUGUUUCUCAAAUCAUCCAAGGUAACAGAAAGUCUUUCUCUACUAUUUUUGAGAAGGCCCAUCACUAGAUUGAAAGCUCUUCUGGAAGUGACUCUGCCUGUAUGUUCCCUACAAACAACCCCUAGAGAGUUAGCUGCUGAGAUGGCUAUAUUUUCAAACUCGAGCUGACUUGGAGAAAGCAGAUCUGGAGUGGAGACAUGGAAUUUCUCAUGGAAAGUGAAAAUAACUCACUGAAAAUCAUGUUUUUUCAAACUCUUCUGUCUUUCCACAGUAUGUUCUUGUUACUGAUUUUCAGAAAGCUGGUUUUGAGACUACAGCUUGGAUUAAAGUAAGUUUUGUCUAGAAUUGUUUCUCUAUUCAGUAUAGACAUUUUCAUGCCAUGAUUUAUUUCUAAGCCUAGGGGAAACAAUAAACAACAUCUGGUUAUCUUAUUUCAAAUUUGAUAUGUAUAAAUUGUGGAUUGAUCUUUAUUGGAGCAAAUUUGCAAUCCAAAUUCUCUUGGUGAUUUAUUUGCUUGGCACCUAAUACACCUCUAAGCUUACAACAGUCAUCUCAUUUCAAAUGUAAAGCCCCAUUUUAAAAACAAAAACCAUAUACACACCCAAAUAUAUAGAAAAUAAAGAAAGACUAAAAAAAUUUAAUUUCCAUAAUUUUAUCAAGAGACAGUCACUACUAAUGCUUUGCUGGGGAUCCUUCCAGACAUUGUUCUAUGUCUGUGUGUGUGUGUAUUUUUAAAUAAGAUGAUGCAUUACAGAACACAAGGCUUUAUUAUUAAAAAAAGAUUAGACACAAUUUCUAUGCCUUAAAAUAUAAUUUAACACAAUUAUUGUUUAUGAUUAUAGAUUAUUAAGUUUUAUAGAUGUUCCAUCAUUUAUUUCAGCAGUCUCCUAUUUUAGACAUUUUCAUUAUUUCCAGCAUUUAAAGAUUAUAUCUAAAUCUUUAUUUUUGUCUCUCAUGAAGUAUCAUGACCUGCCUGAUGUUUAAAUGCUCUGCUAAAAAAAAUGAGUAUGAGGUGAUAAGUCAAUGUGGAAUAGGUAAUCUCCUACGAUAGCAGUCCCCAACUUUUUUGGCAUCAGGGACUGGUUUCAUGGAAGAUAAUUAUUCCAUGGACAAGAGGACUUCCAUGAGUCUCCUAGGAGCUGGUUUCAGGAUGCUUCAAGAACGUUACAUUUAUUAGGUACUUUAUUUCUUUUAUAUGUUACAUUGUAAUAUAUAAGAAAAUAAUUAUAUACCAUAAUACAGAAUCAGUGGGAAUCCUGAGCUUGUUUUCCUGCAACUAGAUAGUCCCAUCUGGGGGUGAUGGGAGACAGUGAGAGAUCAUCAGGCAUUAAAUUUUCAGAAAGAACAUGCAACCUAGGUCCUUUGCAUGCACAGUUCUCAAUAGGGUUCAUGCUUCUAUGAGAAUCUAGUGCCCCUGCUGAUCUGACAGAAGGCAGAACUUCAGGUGGGAAUGCCAGUGAUAGGGAAUGGCUAUAAAUACAGAUGUAGCUUUGCUUGCGCACCUGUUGUGCACUUCCUGCUGUGCAGCCUGGUUCCUAACAGGCCAUGGUCUGCUACCAGUCCAUGGCCUGUGUUGUGGGUUGGGGCCCACCGCCCUAAGAGACAGUGGCAAUUAAUCCAGGUUAAAUGUGAUGAUGUCUUUAGCCUAGGAUGUUAGAGGAGGAGGCAGUGAGAAGUGGUCAGAGCCUGGAUUUAUUUUAUCUUUUUAAAAGCUAACAGAACUUGCAUAUAGAUUAGAUUGUGUGUUGUGGAAGAAAGAAAGAAGUCAAGGAUCAUCAUAUUAAGAGGACAAAGGAGGAAAAAUUAACAACUCAGUAGAUGCUUAAAGAAACACUGUUAAGAGGCAAUAUCCAUUUCAGAUUUAAAAAAAAAAAUUCUUUGCAAAUUGAACAGAACAAUUGAAGUCCCAAAAUGAUCAAUAAAAACAUCUUACUGAUUUUGUCCAUUCAGCCACUCUCUUACCAGAUUAAUGAAUCCUUGUUGUAUACAGCCUUAGGUUGGAGCAAACACUUGCCAGGAAUUGAGAGGGGCCCGCGUCACUAUGGUAUAAAUCUUAAGAGAAAGGCCAGCCAUGACAGCAAAAGCAUGUUCAUCUUCAGAGUACUUUGGGGACACUCAUAACUUCAAGUCAUUGUUAAAAAUUCUGAGACAAGGGAAUUAGGAAGAUUGACCUCCCCAGUAAGCUAUGAGUCAUGAGAAUCUUUCCAUAAGGAGAGCUAGCUAGGAUGCAGGCAUUCUGUGGCAGGUGGAGUUCGGGUGAAUCUGCCAGUCCAGCCGAGAAGCCUUGUCUAAGUGACUGUUUUCCUCUGCAGUUCAGUCAUCUGACUGUCUGGGGAAGAACACUGACUGGUGUGGUGUUCUUUGGCAUCUACUUAACCAUCUGGUCCCCCAUUCUUAUUGCACUAAAUAUGAGAGGACAGGUAAGUAUGCCAGAUGGGAAGUUUGCCUUCUGUGUCUUGUGAUAACAAUGUUUCUCCAUGUGUAGGCAAGCAGGCUCUCUGUGUUUUGCAACUGUAUUGAGGUUCAGUAGAGGCUGGUGCUACCUGUUUCUAUCAGGAUCUAUCAGGACGUAAACCAAAUUAAAGAAUCUGGAAGAUGUCAUCCAGUCCACAGAAAUGGCAUUUUAAAUUUAAAGUAUUAUAAAAAGUCAACCUAAACCCCCUUACUUACCUGGCAUGUCCACAUUUUCAUAAUAAAUUAUGUGUUAAUUGCACAUCAUACUGAUAUGUACACUUUAUGGCCCUUUGGAAACUGGAGCUAUUUUGAGUUGUUCAUAAUCCAGUGAUUAUAUUGGUUACAGUUUUGAUGUUGUACUCUGAUUAGUAGUUAUCCUCUGUUGAGUCAUCUGUGGAAGUUAAAUCUAACAGCUCUAUGAACCAGUAUCUCUUUGAACUAGAGAGGCUGAGAUUAAAGGUCUUUAUACGCAUUUGAAUGUCUUUUUAUUUUUUUCUUUUAUACUACCUUUUUCUAGUGCAUGAGAUUGAGCCAUCAACUGUGACAAACUGGAUCAUGGAAUCUCACAGUAUCAAGUUUGGAUAGAAAGGAGCCUGGCAGUCUUGUGGUCCACACCUCCUCAGUUUACCAAGGAAGCUGUGCAAGCACAGGUCUCCAGGUUCAUCCCAGAGACCCCACCCUGGGGUUGCCCACAGCAGUCCUGUCCUUAGACCCCCAAAACAGGCUGCUGGGCCCUAUGUUUUAGGGACCUCUGCACUGGCCCUCCUUCGCUGGGUGUAUUUCUCUGCACAGAGUGAAAAGCUGUGAUGCACACAGCCCCUUCUAGUGUGUUCUCUGGGCUCCCAGGAACCCAGGCCUCUUCCUCAAACAGCCAAAUGCCCAUUACCAAGGCCUGCUUGGGCCUCCUUCCAGAUGCAGGCCAGAUUGCACAACUCUAGGUCCGAGGGGCAACUGUUUGCAAGGGGUGUGCACUGAGUAGAUUGAUGUUUGCACUGGUGUUUCCACCCACGUUUAAAGGAGGAUGUUCAUGCUGGGGCACAGAACCCAGUGGAAAGGGAAGAACAGUGGGUCAGAUUUUAAUUGGUGUUUCCCACCCAGGAAUACAUAUUUUAGGGGCAGGUCUGUGCAUGGCACAGCUGUCUGCUAUCUCUGCCUCACUUACUCUGCAGAAGUAAAUGAAACCCCUGGGUUGACUGCAGUCUAGACUGUGUCCAGCAGCUGUUUUUUGUGAGGUAGCCCUGAGUAGUGUUGCUUGCCUUUUGACCUGGUGGCUCAAUUGGCUAAUAUCCCAGGGUGCAGAGGACCUCCGCUGAGGGUGCUGAGUGGUAUGGACCUGUCCUGCACGAGUGGGUGUGCUUGCCCUCUAAUGCAUUUUUGCUUUUUGUAAGAAAAGAGGACAAAUGUCUAAUGUGCUUUUCAGUUCUUUUCCAAAUUCAGACAAUAGAGGAAAUUGAAUAAACCCAGAAGAUUGUUGUGUAGCAAAAUGAGUAUUUCCAACAAAGAAACUGUGUGUGUUUAAAGAAAGCAACUCUAUUUUAAAGCAGUAUGAUUGAGCCCCACAAAACAAGUGUCGGCUAUAAGACAACAAUCUUUUGGUAAGGUACUGGGGCUUAGAAUAUCUGUUUUGUGCUCUCUUCCUUCUGGUUCAGGGUUGAUCUGCUAUGAUAAAUAUUUUAUUUGGGGAAUUUUUUGGUACUGGACAAUAAACAGGGCCACAGCUGAUUGCCACAGACAAUUUUCUAAUUUAGAGGACAGUGACAGCUGACAGGAUGGGUCACUUGGUUUGUGAUUGGCAAACUAAGCCCAUUUGUCGAGGUUUCUAGGUUGGUGAAUGCUCAGAAAUGAAGGAUAUUCUAGAAAAAACUGCUUUUUAUAGGCCCAGCAUGCUUCCGCUGCACAACUCUGCUAUCAAAAAGACUUUUUUUUUUU